rnacentral:rRNA from 1 species
AAUCAACGCUGGCGGCGUGCCUAACACAUGCAAGUCGAACGAGAAAGUGGAGCAAUCCAUGAGUAAAGUGGCGACCGGGUGAGUAACACGUGACUAACCUACCUUCGAGUGGGGGAUAACCUCGGGAAACCGGGGCUAAUACCGCAUAACAUCUUUGAAGUGGAAAUUUCGGAGAUCAAAGGAGCAAUUCGCUGGAAGAGGGGGUCGCGGCUGAUUAGCUAGUUGGCGGGGUAACGGCCCACCAAGGCUAGAUCGGUAGCCGGCCUGAGAGGGCGCACGGCCACACUGGAACUGAAACACGGUCCAGACUCCUACGGGAGGCAGCAGUGGGGAAUUUUGCGCAAUGGGGGAAACCCUGACGCAGCAACGCCGCGUGGAGGAUGAAGUCCCUUGGGACGUAAACUCCUUUCGACCC